GACGAACGCUGGCGGCGUGCUUAACACAUGCAAGUCGAACGGAAAGGCCCUGCUUUUGUGGGGUGCUCGAGUGGCGAAAGGGUGAGUAACACGUGAGUAACCUGCCCUUGACUUUGGGAUAACUUCAGGAAACUGGGGCUAAUACCGGAUAUGAGCUCCUGCUGCAUGGUGGGGGUUGGAAAGUUUCGGCGGUUGGGGAUGGACUCGCGGCUUAUCAGCUUGUUGGUGGGGUAGUGGCUUACCAAGGCUUUGACGGGUAGCCGGCCUGAGAGGGUGACCGGCCACAUUGGGACUGGGAUACGGCCCAGACUCCUACGGGGGGCAGCAGUGGGGAAUAUUGCACGAUGGGCGGAAGCCUGAUGCAGCAACGCCGCGUGCGGGAUGACGGCCUUCGGGUUGUAAACCGCGUUCGCCUGUGACGAAGCGUGAGUGACGGUAAUGGGUAAAGAAGCACCGGCUAACUACGUG
rnacentral:rRNA from 1 species